CGGCGUUCUAGCCCGCGAAGCAGCCAGCCAUCUGUGACGAUCCGUUCCACCGGUCUCACCGCGACAGCAACGCAAACCUUUCCAAAAAGUCUACUGAACACCGGUCCUCCCCGGAGGAGCAGCGGCUGCUUUCCAUCACUGCAGAGGAGGUUCAACGGAACCGAACGGUGCCGUUAAAAUGGAAAAAAGGGGGAAAAAAAAUCACCGCAAAUGGGGAAAAAAAAAGGGAAAAAAACACUGUCGUCUCCGAGCGGCUGCUCUCUAUCGGCUCCAGACCCGGUCAGCACCGCGCAAAAUGCAAGAAACGGAGGAGAGGCUGUGUGGACUGCGGCUGAGAUGGAGCUGAUGGAGGACAGGAGUCGUCCUCCUCUGGGCCCAGGGGUGGAGGAGAGAGAUGUAGCGUCGUCAGGAUGGAGCAUCCACCUCCAGCCGGACUCUCCUGUGUUAUGAAGCUCCAGCAGCUGGGAGGAGGAGGCUGGAACACCAACCAGACCUGACGGAGCCCCUGAGAGAAAUUCAGGCUUUAGGUGAGCUGGGAGCUGCAGCGUGAUGAACGGCAUGUCCAUCAGGAGGAGGAGCAGGAGGAGCGGCGUCUGAACCUGCAGUUCCUUGAAGAUGAAGCAGGGCAGCGAGGCUGAAUGAG
rnacentral:lncRNA from 1 species